rnacentral:rRNA from 1 species
GUCUACAGCCACGCUGCCCCGAACGAGCCCGAUCCCGUUAGAUCUCGGAAGCUAAGCAGGGUCGGGCCUGAUCAGUACUUGGAUGGGAGACCACCUAGGAAGACCGGGUGCUGUAGGUG